GGAUCCCUUGGGAAGAUCCAAGUCAGGACACCUCAGGAGAGAAACAAAGAAUGAAGCUUCCUGGUUUUUAUGUGGGAGAUCAAACAGCGGUUGAACCUCCAAAUCAAGAGGGUCUUGUGUCCUUCGAGGA